rnacentral:lncRNA from 1 species
GAUACUGAAGUUUUGUUUGAACACUUUCCUGACACCCCCUACUCGGAGAAUUUUAGCUCCCAACCUUAACUUUCCCCUCACUGUUUCACUCAACUUAGGUCCAAUUUUCACUGCAUAAGUUGAAACAAAUAUCAUUUAAGUAACAAACUGUAUACAAGAAUCAGUAACAAAACCAGAUGAUAUUUGACAUUUCUUAAGCUCAGAACUAACCAUGAUCCCGAAUGCCUUGAGCAAAAUUCUCCACUUUCAUACCAAGUUUGUUUAUCCCAUCCUUCAUUAACUCUAUCGUGCCUGCAGUUUCAAGAAAACGCUUAAUUACAAAAGGAUCCGGUGUAGCUUACAUAAACAAUAAAAAAUGUAUGUGUGUACAUAUGAUUAAAAUUUUCUCUUUACAUUUCGUGUACUAAAGAAAAUAGGUACUUAACUCUGUCUAAAUUUUGGAGAUGCAUAAUAUUGAUUGCAAGCGAUACAUAAAGAUCCUUCCCGAGGCAUCUCAGCUGGAUAUACUGUUGAGCUGAUCGGAAUUCCAAUAACUUGUCCUGGAAUCUGGUUCUUCAUUUUUAAAUUUUUACGAACUGCAAAUUGCUUGGUUCUCUGUAAGCCUCUGGUUGAUCUUUACUUGUUUUCUGAUGUGCCUUGUAGGAUGAAUUACAACAACGCGUCUUACAUGGUAUUUAUAGCGCAAUUGAGAAGGUUAGUGGUAUUUAACUUUACGCUGCAUGACUCAUGUUUGGCUCAUCUAUGAGACAAAUGUGACGAGGCAUGCAUAUUUUAAGAUAAGACAUGAUAGAAAAUUUAUGCCCUGCUUUGUAAGCAAGCUAGCCGAAGGGUCUUAAGUCCCUGUCGGUAUACGUAGGUAUUUCCCUAUUUUGUACAAUUUUGUUAUAGAGCAACAGAAAGUUCAGGGCCUGGAAGUUAGCUGAACUCAAAACCGAGCAGAAAGUAGUUGUUGCUAGUCUGAAACACAGUUAAUGGUUUAAGAGAGCUUGCUUUAGCACUUGAAUCGCGGAAAAAUUAGAACGUUGAUCGAGUUGUCAGAAGAAUCUGGCUAAAUAUCAGACAGAAAAUAAAAGAAAAACAAAAAAUCUUGCAUAGUACAGGGACUUUUAAUCAUGCCAAGCAUGAUACUGAUAGAUCUUCUUGUACAAAGUUGAAUCAAUCAAACCAUCUGAUGUUUGGUCAAAACAAGUAAAAUAAUCUCAUAGUGUAUAUGAUUUUAUUAAGGAAAGGAAAGAGUAGGUUCAUCACAUGCAAGUCAUAAACAGCUGGUGCAAAAGUUUCAAAUGCUUAUGUGGACUGUCAUCAAUCUUUAAUCCUUUUGUAUCAUGCAUUUUCUUUAUCUUGAUGUCAUUGUUAUAUUGUAAUCUUUGCUUAUUAAAACAUUACUGUAUUAGUUGGUAAAUUAAUCCCUUUAAUGUUGUUCCUCUAAUAUAUAAGAACGUGUAGGACUGUAAAUAGUUUAGGAUAUCCAGUGGUUGAUAAAACUUUUAGCGGAUCAGAUCCUUUUAAUUAUGGCAAACAUAUCUUACAAAAAAGUUUGGCAUAUACUGCAAUAGAAUUCCAUCGAUGUAGAGAAAGUCUUACACGGACCCUGGGACUAUAACUAAUCUAAAAAUUAAUACAAUAAAGAUUGUUUUAAAGCAAUUACAUAAAGAAACAAGCUCUGUUAUUCGCAUAAUCCCAUGAACCGCAUAAAAACAAGCUCUAUUAUUCACAUCAUUUAUAUCACUUGGCUAUACGUUUAAUAAGAUAAAUUCAAGAUUAAUUUCAUAACCUCUUCUGUAAUGAAUAUUGAUGUACGGUAAAGGUCCAAAAGUUAUUUACUUUGUAACAUCUUCCAUAUUAAUAUAGUUAUACAACUAUACAUUAAUACAAAUAUGAUUCAUGUAUAUAUAUAGUCAUUCCUUGUGCUUCAUUUUCAAAACUUAAUAUAAUAUAAUUUUACUGCAUCAUCUCAUCACAAAAGGUAGAAUUUUUAUACUACUUGCUUCACAGAAAAUGAAAAAUUCCUCUGUUAUGCUUUUCAUCUCUCUUGCGAUGAUAUUGGCGAUUUCAGGUUAGUUCAUUCCUGCAAAAAAUAUUUUAAUCUCCUUAAUAUUUCCAUCAAUAUAGAUAAUUUAAAGUUACAUCAUGUGCAGGUUUAAGAUUGUCAAAUGGUUUAGCUGAAGGGAUAGUUGCUCGCGCUCCAUACCAUGCAGGGGCUCCAAACCAUAUAUUGAACGCAUACGAUUGCAGUAAAGAUGAAAGCAUAUGCAGCAAACGUUGUCCGGGAUUUUGCUUCUAUUGCUAUUGUGAUAAAAUAUCUAAAACUUGUAAUUUUCAUUGUGAAUUGUGAAUAGUAUAAUUAUUGAGCCAAGGGCUUAAUAAAUGAUUUACCACAUUUUUAUGAAUUAAUAAGGCAAGUCUUUAUCUCAAUUGGUGAUUGUUUUUAUUUUCAUUGUACUAAAAUUGAGUAUAAGUGUCUUUCAUAUUUUUUAAUACAUCCUAUAAUCGAGAGGGACUACAAGAUUAAGAUGCGUUUAAGAACUAUGAUUGGGAGAGUGACCAUGACAAUAAUAGCUUUAGAAUGCCUUCUAAGAAUUCAACAAACUUUAGUGAUAAUGAACAAGAUUAAUCUAACAUUAGCCUAAAUAAGGUUUUUUUUUAUGUGUAACAGUUUGAAGGAUGCGAUCAUUAACUAUGUUGUUGAAAAUAAAAGGGAUAUUUAGUUUGCUAAGAAUGAUUUGUAGAUGGUUCAGUCUAAGUAUGGGGAGAAUGUCCUUGGUAUUUAUAUUCCAGCACGAUUGAUGUUGAUGGAAUUUUAGACCAUAAGCUUAGCUUUGUGUGGUCUCUGAUUGGAUGGCUAGGAAAUUUGGAAAUCAUAUGAGAUUUAAUCUUAAGUGGAAGCCGAGAGAAAUUCAACAACACCUAAAUGAAGUCCACGGUGUGUUAAUUUUGAAAACCAUUGUUAAUUAGCAAGAAAAUAGCAUUGUCUAGAAUUGAAGAUGAUAUUGCUAAACAAUAUAAGAGAUUAUAUGAUUAUGGAGUUGAGGUACUGGGAUGAGCGUGCAUAUCCAGGUCCUGCUCAGGCUUCAUUGUUAGCACCUUUUUGCUCUGGGCGAACCCAACUGCAUUUUGGUGCACUGCCAACAAGAUUCAAUCAGAACUUCAGUAUUUGAUUACAGUAAGCAAGUAGCUGCAAAUAUCAGAAUGGUUGAACAUCUUGAGUUAAACAUCAAAAAAAUUUCAAUUAUUUAAAUAAGUUUUUUAAUAGAUGUUAAUUAAGAGUAGAUGUAUUCAGUGAUAAAAUAAGGAUUUAAAAUGCUCACACAAUGGAAUCGGAACUGAAUCUUUUGAAUACAAUUAAUAUAAUUUAAUGGCUUGUAAUCUCUCUAUAAACAAUGAGAUCUUAUAGAUACUGAAAAUCUUAUAGAACUGAAUCUUUUGAAUACAAUUAAUAUAAUUAUGUGAUUGUUUACGUUAUUUAAUAUAAAAUUAAUUUACAAACAUAUAUUAAAUUAUUAAUUAUAAAAGAAAACUACACAAGUUCAAUUAUAAUGGCAAUGAACAUUUAAUUCUUAUUAGAUAUUUACAUAAUUUUUUAUAUAAAAAGUUAGAGAUUUGAAGAUAAAUAAAUAGACAAACAAUUUAUUUAAUAAAACUAAGUAUAAUAUAUAGGGUCGCGCUCAAGAGAGAACCGGUGCUUAAAAUAGAACCAUAGAACCACUAAGGUUCUGCUGCGGAACCCUAAAUUUUAAAUAUAUUUUUAGGAUCUAAAUCUAAAUACAUGUUUUUUUCAUAUUUUUUCAUCGAUGUGUGUGUUAAAAAAUAAUUUUAAAAUCUAAUACAUAGAUAUUGACAUUUUUUGCAUGUGAAGUUCUGCUGCAGAACCCUAACUCAUACUUAAGUUCUGCUGCAGAACCCUGCCAAGGGUUCUAUGGUUAUCUCUCUAAUGGUUCUCUCUAGAACAUGACCCAUAUACAUAGGAGUUUAUGAAAUUUGGGCCCCUUGAAAUUUGAGGCCCUGUGCAAAUGCUCCACUUGCACAUGUUAAUAGCCGGCUCUGAUCUGAGUUCAGUGCUGACUGAAAUAAUCUUUGCAAGAUAACAUUGCCAGUUUAUUUACUGCAUCAAACAGAUGGAAAUGUAUUUUACAUGAUGGAAUGCUAUUUAUGAAACAUGGGAAGAAUGAACGUUCGUGUCGUGGUCAUUGAGAUUCAUACACUGCUAGCUGAAGAAACUUGUAAGUUCUCUGAUGGUUAAGAAAUCCCAUGAACCAAAACUCAUAGUCAUCCUCUGUAACUAUAUCUAUAUACUUUCUUGAUGGAUCUUGGACAUUUUCACUUUCGUUUGCUCUUUUUAUCUUGUUCAACGGAACUGAAACCUUGUAAUGAAUCCGAAUUAAAUCCCCUGUUGAAGUAGAGACCUUGAUUGAUCUUUCACUGCAGAAUGCAAUUCUAUCGGUUGAGAUAAAUAGUAAUCCGGCUAUUGGACCAGCAGUUGUAGAUAAAUAGCAUUGUGAAGCCUUCAAUAGCUUUUCUCCUGAUCUGAUACUGAAGUUUUGUUUGAACACUUUCCUGACACCCCCUACUCGGAGAAUUUUAGCUCCCAACCUUAACUUUCCCCUCACUGUUUCACUCAACUUAGGUCCAAUUUUCACUGCAUAAGUUGAAACAAAUAUCAUUUAAGUAACAAACUGUAUACAAGAAUCAGUAACAAAACCAGAUGAUAUUUGACAUUUCUUAAGCUCAGAACUAAC